UGGGAGGAUGCUGUAAUGGCCCACGGGGGAUUUCCCAUGUUUCCCGUUGCCAUCUGUCCCCCACCGUGCCCGGUUUCCCGGGAGGUUCCCAGAACUCGAUCCCCAGCAGCCAAAGCGCUGAGUGUUGUAGAAAAGGGAUUUUUCCCGGGCCGAGGGGAAAGCAGUGGGAUCCCACACGAGCCCUGGGGUUGGCGUCCUCACCAUCCAGCAAAACGACUCAGAAAGGGGCUGAACUGCCCGACAUUGCCCCACUGCUUGGCAGCAGCCGCCUGACACUCCCGUGUCUUCCCCGUCAGGACGCGGCUGGCUCCCGUCCAGGUGGGACCCUGCCAGCGCUGAUGGAUGCCCGAGGUGCUGCUGUGCCACCCUGCUCCUGGCUAACCAGCACCAGUUCUUCAGUGGCAAGCUUUAUGUCCUUCUCCAGUAGCUAAAGCUGCCAGUUGAAGAACUGUUGAAUGUAGCCACUCUCUUCUCAUCACUGGGACAUUGGAUGCCAGCCAGAGCCCUGAGCGACCAGGAUGAGCCACUCUGCAGUGUCCUGUGGUUGGAAGGCUGAGGAUGAGUUCAACCAGGAUGAAGAAAGUCUCCUCGAAGCCUCCAGACAGAGCCUUGGCUGGAGGAUUGCCAAUCAGCCAUACCAGCAGGGUUGUCAAACUGUGUCCCUCCCUCAGUGGGGUGGCACUGAGCUGGGAGGUGACUAGAGGAGACUGAGAGAAGCAUUAAACGUUGUUUUGCUCAA